UACGUAGGGUGCGAGCGUUGUCCGGAAUUAUUGGGCGUAAAGAGCUUGUAGGCGGUCUGUCGCGUCUGCCCGGUGAAAAACCCCGGGGGCUCAAACCCCCGGGGCCUGCAUUCGAUACGGGCAGACUAGAGUUCGGUAGGGGAGUCUGGAAUUCCUGGUGUAGCGGUGAAAUGCGCAGAUAUCAGGAGGAACACCCGGUGGCGAAAGGCGGGGACUCUGGGGCCCGAUACUGACGCUGAGGAGCGAAAAGCGUGGGGGAGCAAACAGG
rnacentral:rRNA from 1 species